GACGAACGCUGGCGGCGUGCUUAACACAUGCAAGUCGAACGGAAAGGCCCUGCUUGCAGGGUACUCGAGUGGCGAACGGGUGAGUAACACGUGGGUGAUCUGCCCUGCACUUCGGGAUAAGCCUGGGAAACUGGGUCUAAUACCGGAUAGGAGCCAUUUUUAGUGGGAUGGUUGGAAAGUUUUUUCGGUGUAGGAUGAGCUCGCGGCCUAUCAGCUUGUUGGUGGGGUAAUGGCCUACCAAGGCGGCGACGGGUAGCCGGCCUGAGAGGGUGGACGGCCACAUUGGGACUGACAUACGGCCCAGACUCCUACGGGAGGCAGCAGUGGGGAAUAUUGCACGAUGGGCGCAAGCCUGAUGCAGCGACGCCGCGUUGGGGAUGACGGCCUUCGGGUUGUAAACUCCUUUCGCUAGGGACGAAGCUUUUGUGACGGUACCUAGAUAAGAAGCACCGGCUAACUACGUG
rnacentral:rRNA from 1 species